GGGGAAGGAGAACUGCACUGCACCUCCUACAGCACAUGCAGAGCCUAAGAGACGUUGGGAAGAAAAGUGUUUUCUGAGUUGGGACCCAAAGCAGCAGAGCCAGGAGCAGAAGGAGCUGAAGUUGAGACAGUUGGACAUGACUCUUGUUUGGCUCCUUGUUUGCACGCUGGAACUUCUUCAAAGGGAAACUUCGCCACCUGAGAAAAGGAGACAGCGAUGAUUGAAAUAGAAUUAGGCUCUACUCUUCACACAGUAUGAGGAUACCUGAGAUUGUAAGAUUUAAUUGUUGACAAAGGAAAUGCUCUCCACUCUUGUUGCCUUCAUUUCAAAAAUAACAGUGCGCUGUUGUCCAAGAAAACAUGAUGAGAUUAAUAAAUCAAUACUCCAUUUGC